rnacentral:rRNA from 1 species
UACGGGGGGGGGCAAGCGUUGUUCGGAAUUACUGGGCGUAAAGGGCUCGUAGGCGGCCAACUAAGUCGGACGUGAAAUCCCUCGGCUUAACCGGGGAACUGCGUCCGAUACUGGAUGGCUUGAGUUCGGGAGAGGGAUGCGGAAUUCCAGGUGUAGCGGUGAAAUGCGAGAUAUCUGGAGGAACACCGGUGGCGAAGGCG